GACGAACGCUGGCGGCGUGCUUAACACAUGCAAGUCGAACGAAGUGGCGAACGGGUGAGUAACGCGUAAUCAACCUGCCCUUCAGAGGGGGACACCAGUUGGAAACGACUGCUAAUACGCCAUACUGAAGGAGGGGAUUGCGUCGGAUUAGCUAGUUGGGGGGGUAACGGCCCACCAAGGCGAUGAUCAGUAGCCGGUCUGAGAGGAUGACCGGCCACAUUGGAACUGAGACACGGCCCAGACUCCUACGGGAGGCAGCAGUGGGGAAUCUUCCGCAAUGGGGGCAACCCUGACGCAGCCAUGCCGCGUGAAUGAAGAAGGCCUUCGGGUUGUAAAGUACUUUCGGUAGCGAGCGUUACCUACAGAAGAAGCACCGGCUAACUCCGUGCCAGCCGCCGCGGUAAUAC
rnacentral:rRNA from 1 species